AAAGAAAAACUGCAGUUUGCUCAAACCCAGGUUCAAUAUUUAGGACACCUGAUCUCGAGGACAGUGGAAUGCAUUCUUUAAUAGGUAAUGCUGGCUCAACAUUUCAAAAUGAUCAGAAUGGUCUGCAAUGCUUAUGACCUUAAGAAGACACAGACUUUAGAUGGUGGGACACAACACCCAGGAAAAGUCCUGGCACCAAGGGACAAAGGCCACUGAAAAUGGAAAACCUGACUCUUGAUCAGCGAUGCUUUCAGAGAAAAGCAGAAAAUGUCAAACUGAAUAGAGGAAACCUCAUUUAAAAUAGCUGGGAGUCCAGAAGGGGGAACCCUCAUACAUACCACAAGAAGCAUCAACUACUCCCGUUAAUUACAUACUCCAACAGCAAAGCAUCAUUCACAGACCUACUAGGAGGGAAGAUUUCCUGUUCACCCAGCAAAUUUGCCUAGGAGGAACCAUCACCACCUGAACUCUCACUUUCUACCAGGGGACUUUCUUCAGAACAACCCCUCCCAACUUCCUCCUUUUUCUCUGUAACAGAAUGGGCCUCUCCUUUGUUUGCUGAACUUAGCUAUGGCUUUUCCUAUAGUUCGCUUGUCUCGAAUUGCAAUUCCUCUGCUAUUCCCAAAUAAGCCCAUUUUGCUGGUAAAAUAAAC